rnacentral:rRNA from 1 species
GACGAACGCUGGCGGCGUGCUUAACACAUGCAAGUCGAACGGAAAGGCCCUGCCUUUGUGGGGUGCUCGAGUGGCGAACGGGUGAGUAACACGUGAGUAACCUGCCCUGGACUUUGGGAUAACUUCAGGAAACUGGGGCUAAUACCGGAUAGGAGCUCCUGCUGCAUGGUGGGGGGUGGAAAGUUUCGGCGGUUGGGGAUGGACUCGCGGCUUAUCAGCUUGUUGGUGGGGUAGUGGCUUACCAAGGCUUUGACGGGUAGCCGGCCUGAGAGGGUGACCGGCCACAUUGGGACUGAGAUACGGCCCAGACUCCUACGGGAGGCAGCAGUGGGGAAUAUUGCACAAUGGGCGGAAGCCUGAUGCAGCAACGCCGCGUGCGGGAUGACGGCCUUCGGGUUGUAAACCGCUUUCGCCUGUGACGAAGCGUGAGUGACGGUAAUGGGUAAAGAAGCACCGGCUAACUACGUG